AUUGAACGCUGGCGGCAGGCCUAACACAUGCAAGUCGAGCGGAUCGGCGGACGCGUGAGUAAGGCCUAGGAAUCUGCCUGGUCGUGGGGGAUAACGUCCGGUAACGGGCGCUAAUACCACAUCCUAUCAGAUGAGCCUAGGUCGGAUUAGCUAGUUGGUGGGGUAAAGGCCUACCAAGGCGACGAUCCGUAGCUGGUCUGAGAGGAUGAUCAGCCACACUGGAACUGAGACACGGUCCAGACUCCUACGGGAGGCAGCAGUGGGGAAUAUUGGACAAUGGGCGAAAGCCUGAUGCAGCCAUGCCGCGUGUGUGAAGAAGGUCUUCGGAUUGUAAAGCACUUUAAGUUGGGAGGCGUUACCUACAGAAUAAGCACCGGCUAACUUCGUGCCAGCAGCCGCGGUAAUUC
rnacentral:rRNA from 1 species